CGAAAGGGUGACCCGGCAACGCCGCGUGGAGGAUGAAUGCCGUAAGGUUGUAAACUCCUGUUAGAGGGGAAGAAAAAUCUCGAUCAAAUCGAGAACUGACUGUACCUUCAGAGAAAGCCCCGGCUAACUACGUGCCAGCAGCCGCGGUAAUACGUAGGGGGCAAGCGUUGUCCGGAUUUAUUGGGCGUAAAGCGUACGCAGGCGGUUUGGUAAGUCAGAGGUGAAAGCCCACAGCUUAACUGUGGCACUGCCUUUGAUACUGCCUUUCUAGAGUGCAUGAGGGGGAAGCGGAAUUCCGAGUGUAGAGGUGAAAUUCGUAGAUAUUCGGAGGAACACCGGUGGCGAAGGCGGCUUCCUGGCAUGUAACUGACGCUCAUGUACGAAAGCGUGGGGAGCAAACAGGAUUAGAUACCCUGGUAGUCUAGCCGUAAACGAUGGGCACUAAGUAGAGGGGUUUUAAUC
rnacentral:rRNA from 1 species